AGCAGCCGCGGUAAUUCCAGCUCCAAUAGCGUAUAUUAAAGUUGUUGCAGUUAAAAAGCUCGUAGUUGAAUUUCGGGGUUAGUAGGUUGGUCAUGCCUCUGGUAUGUACUGGUCUCACUGAUUCCUCCUUCCUGAUGAACCCUAAUGCCAUUAAUUUGGUGUUUUGGGGAAUUUGGACUGUUACUUUGAAAAAAUUAGAGUGUUUAAAGCAAGCUAACGCUUGAAUACAUUAGCAUGGAAUAAUGAAAUAGGACGUUCGAUCCUAUUUUGUUGGUUUCUAGGAUUGACGUAAUGAUUAAUAGGGAUAGUUGGGGGCAUUAGUAUUCAAUUGUCAGAGGUGAAAUUCUUGGAUUUAUUGAAGACUAACUACUGCGAAAGCAUUUGCCAAGGAUGUUUUCAUUAAUCAAGAACGAAAGUUAGGGGAUCGAAGACGAUCAGAUACCGUCGUAGUCUUAACCAUAAACUAUGCCGACUAGGGAUCGGAUGAUGUUAAUUUUUUAAUGACUCA
rnacentral:rRNA from 2 species